AGUGAACGCUGGCGGUAGGCCUAACACAUGCAAGUCGAACGGCAGCACAGUAAGAGCUUGCUCUUACGGGUAGCGAGUGGCGGACGGGUGAGGAAUACAUCGGAAUCUACUUUUUCGUGGGGGAUAACGUAGGGAAACUUACGCUAAUACCGCAUAUGACCUACGGGUGAAAGCAGGGGAUCUUCGGACCUUGCGCGAUUGAAUGAGCCGAUGUCGGAUUAGCUAGUUGGCGGGGUAAAGGCCCACCAAGGCGACGAUCCGUAGCUGGUCUGAGAGGAUGAUCAGCCACACUGGAACUGAGACACGGUCCAGACUCCUACGGGAGGCAGCAGUGGGGAAUAUUGGACAAUGGGCGCAAGCCUGAUCCAGCCAUACCGCGUGGGUGAAGAAGGCCUUCGGGUUGUAAAGCCCUUUUGUUGGGAAAGAAAAGCAGCAGGUUAAUACCCCGCUGUUCUGACGGUACCCAAAGAAUAAGCACCGGCUAACUUCGUG
rnacentral:rRNA from 1 species